CUUUAAUUUUGCUAUUUUCAUGUUUUAUUUAACAGGAAAAGUCUUUAAAAAGAUCAGCUACUCAAGAUGAGGUAUUUGAGCAUACACAUAUGAAGAAGCUAAAGGAUGGAACAAAGACAACUUGGAUCGAGCCACGAGCCGAGACAACCUAUAAUACUUUCAAACAAUCAUUGGAGGAAUUUGUUCAAAGCCAACCAACUGAUGAUCAAGGAAAGCCAACCCAACCAUCCCAGGAGGAUUAUAUGGACUUGUGGAUUAAGGCGGCUGGUGGCGUACAUUAGGGAAGAGUAUACGGCCUUGGAUCAGAGUUUAGUUCUAGUCGUCGGUCUUUUGGAUCUGGUGGCUCUUCUUCCUCAAGGUCCUCGAUUAAUCAGGAUGAGUUUGAGCUAUUGAAUAGAAGAAUAGCAGAGAUCACUGAGUUGUAUGCACAGGAAAGGGCUGCGCAGGAGGAGGAGGCAAAGCGAAGGGAGGAGGAGGCAAAUCGAAGGGAGGAAGAAGAUAGGUGGAGGGAGGAAGAUGAGGGGCGGAGGGAUGAAGAAAUGAGGCGAAAAGAUGUUGCAUUUACACGUGUCACUGGUGACGUUGAAAGCCUCAAGGCCCAGCUAAACUACCUCUUAGCAUCUGGUGGAUUUCCUGUGCCACGUUCUCCAUCACGCUCUAACAAGACAAAGGAGUUAUUAAUAUGAUUUUGGGUAGGACUAUGAUGUUGGAUGUUAUGUAUCAAUUGGAUAAGAUUGAAUGCUGAAUUUCUUAUUUAUGUUAAGUUGCAUUAUUGGUUUCUAGUA